rnacentral:rRNA from 1 species
UACGGAGGGAGCUAGCGUUGUUCGGAAUUACUGGGCGUAAAGCGCGCGUAGGCGGCUUUGUAAGUUAGAGGUGAAAGCCCGGGGCUCAACCCCGGAACUGCCUUUAAGACUGCAUCGCUUGAAUCCGGGAGAGGUGAGUGGAAUUCCGAGUGUAGAGGUGAAAUUCGUAGAUAUUCGGAAGAACACCAGUGGCGAAGGCGGCUCACUGGAC